rnacentral:lncRNA from 1 species
UUUCUUUUUUUUUUAUUUUACAAUUUAUAAAACAUCAGCCGCCUGCCCCCGCUCGCCCCCAGCUCAGCCCCGAGUGGCGGCCGGGGCGCGAGGGUCCCGCGGGCAGAGCGCAGCGGGCGCGGGCGGCGGCAGCGGCAGCGGCAGCGGCGCAGGACCCGGCUGCAGAGGCUCCAAGGGCUGCCCGCGGUGGGGCGCGCCGUGCGGCGGCUGGAGCGCGGC